rnacentral:rRNA from 1 species
CAGUCAGAGGCGAUGAAGGACGUGCUAAUCUGCGAAAAGCGUCGGUAAGGUGAUAUGAACCGUUAUAACCGGCGAUGUCCGAAUGGGGAAACCCAGUGUGUUCCGACACACUAUCAUUAACUGAAUCCAUAGGUUAAUGAGGCGAACCGGGGGAACUGAAACAUCUAAGUACCCCGAGGAAAAGAAAUCAACCGAGAUUCCCCCAGUAGCGGCGAGCGAACGGGGAGGAGCCCAGAGCCUGAAUCAGUGUGUGUGUUAGUGGAAGCGUCUGGAAAGGCGCGCGAUACAGGGUGACAGCCCCGUACACAAAAAUGCACAUAUUGUGAGCUCGAUGAGUAGGGCGGGACACGUGGUAUCCUGUCUGAAUAUGGGGGGACCAUCCUCCAAGGCUAAAUACUCCUGACUGACCGAUAGUGAACCAGUACCGUGAGGGAAAGGCGAAAAGAACCCCGGCGAGGGGAGUGAAAAAGAACCUGAAACCGUGUACGUACAAGCAGUGGGAGCCUCUUUAUGGGGUGACUGCGUACCUUUUGUAUAAUGGGUCAGCGACUUAUAUUCUGUAGCAAGGUUAACCGAAUAGGGGAGCCGGAGGGAAACCGAGUCUUAACUGGGCGUUAAGUUGCAGGGUAUAGACCCGAAACCCGGUGAUCUAGCCAUGGGCAGGUUGAAGGUUGGGUAACACUAACUGGAGGACCGAACCGACUAAUGUUGAAAAAUUAGCGGAUGACUUGUGGCUGGGGGUGAAAGGCCAAUCAAACCGGGAGAUAGCUGGUUCUCCCCGAAAGCUAUUUAGGUAGCGCCUCGUGAAUUCAUCUCCGGGGGUAGAGCACUGUUUCGGCAAGGGGGUCAUCCCGACUUACCAACCCGAUGCAAACUGCGAAUACCGGAGAAUGUUAUCACGGGAGACACACGGCGGGUGCUAACGUCCGUCGUGAAGAGGGAAACAACCCAGACCGCCAGCUAAGGUCCCAAAGUCAUGGUUAAGUGGGAAACGAUGUGGGAAGGCCCAGACAGCCAGGAUGUUGGCUUAGAAGCAGCCAUCAUUUAAAGAAAGCGUAAUAGCUCACUGGUCGAGUCGGCCUGCGCGGAAGAUGUAACGGGGCUAAACCAUGCACCGAAGCUGCGGCAGCGACGCUGAUGCGUUGUUGGGUAGGGGAGCGUUCUGUAAGCCUGUGAAGGUGUGCUGUGAGGCAUGCUGGAGGUAUCAGAAGUGCGAAUGCUGACAUAAGUAACGAUAAAGCGGGUGAAAAGCCCGCUCGCCGGAAGACCAAGGGUUCCUGUCCAACGUUAAUCGGGGCAGGGUGAGUCGACCCCUAAGGCGAGGCCGAAAGGCGUAGUCGAUGGGAAACAG